CACCACGGAGGUUAAACGCCGGGGUCAUCAGGGCGAGGGGUUGGCUGGUCGUUGUCAGAAACCGGGAACGCCGGCCUCCCGUUAUUCGGGGUGGCCCGCCCGCCCCUCCCGGGGGGCCCGCGAGCUCCUCGAGGCCGGGCGGGGGCCGUGUUCUCGCCGUAACGUUCCCCACCCCGGCCUCCGCCGAGCCCAGCCGAAGCCUCUGUACUUGUGGACUGAAGAAGUGAUGGCGGCGGAGAGCCCGGAGGGCGGAAGUGGUUGGUUUGUUGGGUGGGCGUUGACCUGUUCGUGCCCUCGGUGCGGAUGAUCCGAGGAUGCACCAGCUUCUGGGAGUAUCAGGGAACAGGGCAACAGGAAGGUGGGGACAAGACAUCAAAAAACGAUAGGAUUGCUUUUUAUUUCGAUGACAGUAACAAGGAGGCCCCCCGCCACUCUGCUUUAUGUAAAAACACGUCCAGCAUCGUGAGCAGUCAUCAGCGGGAAGGGACCAAGCCCCAGGCGCCCACAGGGCAUCUCAAG